rnacentral:lncRNA from 14 species
GGCUAAUUCGGGCUCCACUAGUUCAUGUGGGAAUGCUGCCUGGAAUGCACAUCUGUAUAGUUUUUGUCCUUUUUUAGGCCCUGUCAGAUUCCAGGCUUGUGAAGAAACAGCAUGUUGGACAGGAAAGCUCUGCACCAUCGACCAAAGCAAGGAGAAGAGAUUACUGGUGCAACACAGCAACCCAUAAGCUGGAGGAAAGAAAGUCCAAUGCCUCCAUUCAAUCAGCUCAGUGCUCCAUGAAGACUUUCUCUGGCAGCCAUGAGCACUGGGUGGUGAUGAGGAAGGCUUCAGAGGGUAGGAAAGGGGCAGUGUUGACCCUGUGGACAACAGCUGAGAUAAACCCCUUCUGCUGCACAGCUGAAGCUCAGAGAUCACACCACCUGGCAACAACCAUUACAGUCAACCUAAAUGGAAGCCUUCCCACAAUGACUGAACACUCAGGAGGAGCUACAUUUAGUUGAGUAAAUCACCUUCUACUUUGACAACACCCGUCUUUAUCCAUGCUUCAGCUUAAUCACCUGACAUUUGCUUUAUAUUCAGUCCUUCUGGUUUUAUAGAGAUAGCCAGCUACUAUCCGUGUUUCCUGUUAAAUUAGUAAAUACAUUAAGGAAGAGCUCAGAUGAGUAUGUCUGCUCUAGUCCAGGCUGUGGCUGCCUGUGGAGCCAAAGACCAGUGAUGGAUAUCUAUAAGGUACUAGAGCACACAAGAGCAGCUCCCAUGAAGCUGAGCUGCACUUUCACAUCAAAUCUAUAGGAAAUUUCUGCAGUGUCAAGCUUGGUGGCAUGUCAGGAUACAGCUCACUGGGGGUUUAUACUGCACUGGCUAGUGGUGGGGUUAGCUCAGCUGGGAAAGUGGCAAGUGGCUUUUGCCAUACUGGAAUGCCAACCCUGCAGCUGGCACACAUUUGGGAAAGCUCCAUCCCAGCCUCUGCUUAGGCCUACUUGCAAUCCCCAUUGAGAGCCCUGCUCAUAAUUCUUGGUUUCAUUCAUGGUACCAGCAGCCAUCCCAAAGACACCAGAGCAAAAUGGCACCAUGGUGGGGGAGAACUCAUAGGAGUUAGCUGCUCCAUCCCAAAACAUCGUUAUUCUCUGACAGCCCCCCAGCCCCCAUCCCAUGGGGAACAUCGGAGUGUGGAAGUAAGAGAACAUAGAAGGGACCACCAGCACGUGGUUACUGCAGGCAAGUACAAAGCCCUGCCAAAACACUACUUUACAUGGGGGCAUGAGAGCAGUGUGUAUGUGUACUUCUUUUUGAUAUAACUAGACUGGCACUUCAAAUGGAAGAAUUAUGUGAGUGUAUCAGUAACAUCUUUUUGCAGCCUAAGGUGAACACUCAGAAAUUACUUAAUAGGCAAAACUGUGCUUUGAACAGGCAGCAAAUCAAGGUCAUCUCAUUCAACAAAAUCACAAAGAACAGCAGAAGUGUUAAAUCAGUAUGGUCAUAUAUUUACAGUGAAUAAUU